rnacentral:lncRNA from 1 species
CAAGUACGCGGGUUCCGCAUCCGCGGAUUCAACCAAUUGCCAAUAGUAAAGGUAGUACUAUAAGAUCCGAGGCUGGUUGAAUCCGUGGAUGCGGAACUCGCAGCUAUGGGUAUGGACCCCCGACUGUAUUUGCUGUUUUGAAACUGUGCUGCGUGUAGCUUCUGCAGGGACCUCUGAGCACUAAGGGAUUUAAAUCGUUAGUAGAAGGCCUAGGAAAAUAGGGCUUUGAGGGGCUGCCCCAAAACCCUUUCUGUAAGUAGGACCAAGGAUAAAAAUGGAGGGACUAUGCUUCAAUUUAAGUGGUUUCACGUGCUCAAGAGGCACCUCCCAUAUAUGGCCUCAAGUUGCCUCCGGAUUGAUUAGUUACUUAAAACAAGAGGAAUAUUCCUCAGGUGGCCCGUUUCUGAGGUAAAGAAAGCCAUGGUGGAGACAGACGGUCAACACGCCUGCUUACACGGGAUCGUGGGUGCUGCAUGACUAGAAAGAACCCACGUUUAAUUAGGAACUACGGAGAAUGGAAGUUAAGAGGUUGUCACAUACUCCAUGGGAAAGAAAAACAAGAUAAGACCUGCCAAAACACCUAUACAAGAAAGGAAGAAAGAGAUGGAGGAAAGGGAGAAAAGGAAGAAGAAGGAUGGGAGUUUCUUCAUUUAUUUCAGAAUAUGAAAGUGCUUUCUCUUAUGGAUAAACACAUGCCAAGACAUCUUGACAUUUGGUCAUCAUUAUUCUCUUCAUGUCAACCUACUUGAGGUGUUCAUCCUGCUAUUCUGGAAAUACUGGAAGAGUAUCCUCUAUAAGUAACCAGAGAAAGUCAAAGAACAGAGAACCCAGGCAUCUGUCUACGUUAAAAGGUGAUACAGUCAAAUGAAUCCACAGAAUGAUCCAUUUAACUAGACAGUCUACGCCAUACAACCAUUGAAUUGAAGGCAUUGGCCUAUCCCAAUAAAGCCGAAGCAGUGGCAUCGAACCAAGGCUGGCAUUCAUCAAGUUUUAUUCAUUCACUCAACAUUUAUUGAGGAUUCACUUUAUUGUUUUUCAAAGUGAGAUUCCAAAACUAUGUGAAUCCAGAUUAUUUGAGAUUUGCUAUGUCCUUCUCAUCCAGUCAUCCCUGGCAUCAGCAUCUUCCUGGAAUUUACAUAGAGGAAGGAGAAGAUAAAGGAAAAAAGCUGAUAAAUUAGGUUUCUGAGCCUAUAUAACUGAAGGGCAGACCUUGGACUGCGGUGAAUUCAGUAAUGGAAAUGUCCUCUUACAGCCUCUUGGAGGCCAGCCUGCCUGCUUCUGUGGAGACAUUGUCACUUUACUGUGCUCCUUUAUUUUGGAAUUCCACAUUUAUAAUUACAAGAGAGAACUCAACACAUAAAAUGUGUUUUGUUGCAGGGCAUUUGUCUCCUUCCAGCUAAAUGUGCAGAGAUGGAUUUUUUCCUUCCUUUCUCUUCCUUUCAUUUUUCUUCUAAAUUUUAUAUGGAUCUUGCCUCUAGAAUUAACUGAGGUUAAGAAAUGUUCAUAACAAUACAUUGAAAACUGUAAGAAGAAUCUGCAGGGCUCAGUUGAUGGUGGGAAGAGUAGGAGGAGAAAGACAGAAGUUCCAGCAUCAUAUUUUCAUAUUGUAUAAAAUAGCUCUUUUCUGUGUAGUUAAAAGAUGUGUAACGUGUAUUGUUGCUGUUCAUGCUGAUGUCAAAGAGGGGAAAGACAACUUAAGUACUUGGUUAAUUCGUAAGUAUGUUUGAUGCAAAGGACAAAUAAACAUAACUUCAUGAAUAUAUAAUGUUGCUGAUGGCAGCUGAAAUUAUUUCUGGCCGUCAUUAUGGCUUUUCUCCAAGGUCAAUGCUGCCUGUUUGCUGGUAAAGUUGUCAAAGGGUUUUGUUAUCCUACUUGAACUGUGUCAUAGCAGCCACUUAAUUUCUGAAUCACGUAUUCCAGAUUCUGUGCCUUGAGCCAUUGCCCGGCAUCUCAGAGAAUUCCAUUUCUUGGAGGAGCUGGCUGGGAAAUAGUAUGUUUUAUACUUCUCCUGUCUCUGGACAGGAUCCUUCUGUCAAAUUCCGGGCUGAGAUGGCUUGAUUUCCUCUUUAAAAAGGAGCCUUCACUGUGGAAUCCCCUUAGGGAGAUUUCUCAGGAGACUGAUCAAAGUUUUAUGAAAAAAUAUAGGGAGAUGAGAUAACUCAGAGACAAUAGAACAUGAUAGACACUAAUGGCAUGGUCACUGUAAUCUAAACAGCAUGCUCCUUUUUUUCUCUUUUUACAUUAGUGUUUUCCCCCUCACUAUAAAUGCAAACCCAUAUACCCUAGGAAAAUACUUGAAAAUAUUUUU